AAUCCCACAUGAAUUCAUUGAUUCAAUGACCUCGAUUUACAUAAUUUUGUGAUAGACAAUAGAUUACAAACAGCUAACAAGUACUUCAACGACAAAGAGGGAAAGAAAGCAAACACAACAUGAACAGACUUGACGCGAGCAGAACAACAACAACCGAAUUCUUGAGGACCUGACCAUCAAACAGCGUACUUGUCGGCUAGCUCGUACCAAUGUAAACCACACUACCUAUCGCACAAACGCUGCAUAGUUGUCUCCCUCCAUUGCGCACAUCAAGGGCAGAAAUCCUUGAAGGGAUGAGGGACCAGCCAACUAAGGGGGGUUAAGAGUGAAGAAGCACAUCAAUUGAAACUUGCCAAAGAACAACCAUCUCCCUUGAAAUUGACGACGAGCACCCCAUAAACAUCACAUCCAAGCAUCAUAAAUCGUCAUCCAACUCCCUUAAAGGGAGGACACCUCUAAGUAGAGAGGGCAAGAUCAUAGGUCCACCUGGCAUAAGAAUGAUGUCAUCACCAAUAGGAGACGUAUGACGAAGCAAAGGUGUGACGAAGCAAAGGUUUGAAUGGCCACGCAACAGCCACAUCUAAUAUCGUCUGCAAGGCCAAGGCCAACAAAGAAGACAACAAAUAGGCAACCAUAAGGCGAGCAGGGACGAUAUAGGGCACCUCCCGACGCAUCGGGCGUGACGUUUUCACUGCACAAAUAUCACAUUUGCACAUAUUCCAGAUGACCUCGAGAACCGCCACCCGGCGCAUCGGGCGUGACGUUUUCACUGCACAAAUAUCACAUUUGCACAUAUUCCAGAUGACCUCGAGAACCGCCACUAAGAUCGGCUAGACAGAGGAGACACAGGCAUCCCGACUUUGCCUGCAAUAAGGACUAGAAGUGCCAUCAAGUUGAUGCUUGUAGAAAGCCAAGCAAGGCUUUCGCCCAAACCAACAUGGUUGUUGCUACAUGACCACCCGAACCUAAGGACACAAGGGUCGACGCAGCGGUCUGGGUGGUCGGAGGGCAAGGAUUCGGCGAAACAAUCAUAGAGAUCUUACCGGAGGUCAAGGGAAAAAGAACCUCUAUGGAGAAGACAGGGAACGGAGACAACAACUACAGUGGAGCACCGGUGGCAUAGGUCUAUUGCCGUAGGGAAGAACACAAAAGGUGGAGGGUAGGGGCUAGCAAGGUCUAGGCACAACCAUAAAACCGAAACCGAUGCGCGCAGAAGGUCCCUGCGAAGAGCCCAUCUCUGCUGACGAGCGCGAAGUCGAAGAGGGCCAGGAAGGUCGCGUCAUCGAGGAGCGCCACCACGCAGCAGUCGCGCGCCACAAAGGGCCCUGGCAACAUGUUGAGCCACACCACUACACCAGGGGGGGAGUCAUGCACGCGCGGGGGAGGUGGGGGUGGUCGUGGCCACCGGUCCUGCAGAAGAACACAAACCGGGCGACGGGGAGGAGAGGAGGUUGACGUGGCUUGAUCUGCUCGCAAAUCAGGGCAAAGGGCGCGCCGAAACAGUCAACGACCAAGGGGGACCAGAACCGCGGUGGCAUACCAGAUCCACCCACUGGUGGGUCGGAUCCACUCUAUGGCGCUUGAACUAGUCGUCGUCGAGGCACCGGCGACGAGGCGACAGCCGGGGCAGAGCUUGAUGGGGCUGGGCUGAGCCCCGCCACCACCCUCCUAGCACCGACGCGGGCCUCCCGGCCGCGUGCUCAGACGACAACGAGGUGGUGGUGGAGGCCGAGGGGUGUGGCAGCGGUGGCGCAAGAUCUCCGUCUGAG
rnacentral:lncRNA from 1 species